rnacentral:rRNA from 1 species
UACGUAUGGCGCAAGCGUUAUCCGGAUUUACUGGGUGUAAAGGGAGCGUAGGCGGCGCGUUAAGUCUGAUGUGAAAACCCGAGGCUCAACCACGGGAGUGCAUUGGAAACUGGCGUGCUGGAGUGCCGGAGAGGUAAGCGGAAUUCCUAGUGUAGCGGUGAAAUGCGUAGAUAUUAGGAGGAACACCAGUGGCGAAGGCGGCUUACUGGACGGCAACUGACGCUGAGGCUCGAAAGCGUGGGGAGCAAACAGG